UCUUGGCUCAGGACGAACGCUGGUGGCGUGCCUAAUACAUGCAAGUCGAGCGGAUUUAUCCUUCGGGAUAAGUUAGCGGCGGACGGGUGAGUAACACGUAGGUAACCUGCCUAUAAGAUCGGGAUAACUAUCGGAAACGAUAGCUAAGACCGGAUAACUGAUUUUCUCGCAUGAGAGAAUUAUGAAACACGGAGUAAUCUGUGGCUUAUAGAUGGGCCUGCGGCGCAUUAGCUAGUUGGUAGGGUAACGGCCUACCAAGGCGACGAUGCGUAGCCGACCUGAGAGGGUGAACGGCCACACUGGGACUGAGACACGGCCCAGACUCCUACGGGAGGCAGCAGUAGGGAAUCUUCCGCAAUGGACGCAAGUCUGACGGAGCAACGCCGCGUGAGUGAUGAAGGUUUUCGGAUCGUAAAGCUCUGUUGCCCUAGACGAACAGCAAGAGGAGUAACUGCCUUUUGUGUGACGGUAUAGGAGAAGAAAGCCCCGGCUAACUACGUG
rnacentral:rRNA from 1 species